UGAAGUAAAACAACCUAAUAGUUUCCAGGAUUCAUAUAUUCAUAACCAGUACAGUGUUAGUAGAUCUAGACAUGUUACAGUAAUACACACACAGACAGCUGAGGUAAACAUUCUCAUAUUGUCCACGGAUUAUCUACUCAGUAUAGGACAUUGUCUUGGGUGGUUGUAGACGUGAAUACAUAAUAGAAAAACAUAAGAAUUAUGAUCGAAAGACUUUAUCUACUCAUGCAGGACUGAGGACAGUGUCUUGGGCAGUUGUAAAUGUGUUCCAGGAUACAUAAUUAAAAAAAAACAUAAAAAUUAUGGUUGAAGGAAAUGAUAAGAUUUAAACCAUAGACACAAUUUCACAAACCAAGUAAUGCAAAUUAGUUCACAAAGAUGAUAAUCUGAUAGUUGUAGGAUCACAAGGAGCGUUCCCCUAGCUUGAAUAUAUAAAACAUAGAAAAAUAACUUCCACAAUCAACCAUGAUCUCACAAGACCGUUAUGAAGAGUAUCCUAAAACUGUUGCCAUAAAUCAUACAUAUAUAAUGACUAUAUGUAUGUUAAUGACAAACAAAACAGUACUAAACUUAUUUCUGAAAAAGAAAACUGGAAGAAAGGCAUGACCUUCCCUUUGCCUCUAUAUGACUUGCCUUAGUGAGCUUCCCACUUGGGGAAGCCCCUGCAUCUCUGCGUUUUUGUGCAAUAUAUUCCUCUGGUCGAAGACUACUAGUACCCUCUUCAUCUUAGGCUACUAAUGAUGUCCUCGUGCCAGAGUAUUUGCCCUUAACGCUGUCAUGAUCUUCUUCUUUCUCUUUUUCCUCCACAUCUUUUCGCCUGCAAGCACUUAAUGUUGUUUCUUCAGAGCCUGAGCUUAUAUAAUGAGCUUAUGUCUCCUUAACUAUCUAGUCAUAUCUCCGUUGGUAUUAUGAUAAUUACAUAUAGAAAGAAACAGAUCAUAAUCAACUUAUGAAAGAUUCCAAUUUCAGUGGCCCCCUUGGCAUUAUUCUCAUAAUAGGUCAUACUUAGGUACCACUAUCAAUAUAUAUAUUCUUCAUCUGACAUGAUUAACAUUGAUUAUAUAGAGAGAGUAGUAUUAUUAUAAGAUUAAUUGUUCCAUUUAGAGAACUAAAGAUAAACUAAGCAUUAAACUAUAUUGUGGAGGAAGGGGUAGUGUCAAAAGUAAUCUGGAAGUGGACACUAUGUGCCAAGUCAAAAGAUGUAAACUUAGGGAAAAGAGUUGUUAAAGCAGUUGAUAAGAGUACAAAAUAGAUAAGAGAAGAUCUGUCUAGAGAGGAUAUUGUCUAUCUAUAUUCAUAUUAUUAUAUGCCCUGUGUAGGUUCAUAUUUAGGUGAAAAUUAGCAGAGAUUUAACUGCUUGGAUGUGAUGAAUCCUCCGGUGUAAAAAUUAGGAGUUAUAAAAAUUCAUAAAAGAUAUUAUGACAUGAAUAGAGUGAAAGUUUGAAUAGUUCAUAGUAUGAUAUGUAAACAUCGAACUAUUGAUAAAAUAAUUACGUCAAAGAUAUAAUUUCUGAGCUGUGCAUCGGUGAACCACCAGAAAUCCAGAAUAUACAAUCAUAUAUGUAUUUGUGAGUGUGUGUUGAUCAUAUGCAAUGAUGCUGUUUUUUAAUCUUAAUAAAUAACCUAUUCGUAGAGGCCACCAUUGAGAUUAUUGAGAGAAUCUUGAUGUU
rnacentral:lncRNA from 1 species